rfam:Mesocricetus auratus contig197573, whole genome shotgun sequence.
GAACUAUGAUGACAAACCAAUGUCAUGAAGAGAGUUGAUGACAUAAAAACCAUGCACACGAGGCCUAUGUUGAGGCAC